AUUGAACGCUGGCGGCAUGCCUUACACAUGCAAGUCGAACGGCAGCACGGGUGCUUGCCCCUGGUGGCGAGUGGCGAACGGGUGAGUAAUACAUCGGAACAUGUCCUGUAGUGGGGGAUAGCCCGGCGAAAGCCGGAUUAAUACCGCAUACGAUCUACGGAUGAAAGCGGGGGACCUUCGGGCCUCGCGCUAUAGGGUUGGCCGAUGGCUGAUUAGCUAGUUGGUGGGGUAAAGGCCUACCAAGGCGACGAUCAGUAGCUGGUCUGAGAGGACGACCAGCCACACUGGGACUGAGACACGGCCCAGACUCCUACGGGAGGCAGCAGUGGGGAAUUUUGGACAAUGGGCGAAAGCCUGAUCCAGCAAUGCCGCGUGUGUGAAGAAGGCCUUCGGGUUGUAAAGCACUUUUGUCCGGAAAGAAAUCCUUGGCCCUAAUACGGUCGGGGGAUGACGGUACCGGAAGAAUAAGCACCGGCUAACUACGUA
rnacentral:rRNA from 1 species